rnacentral:rRNA from 1 species
AACGAACGCUGGCGGCAGGCCUAACACAUGCAAGUCGAACGCUCCGCAAGGGGAGUGGCGCACGGGUGAGUAACACGUGGGAACCUACCUUCUGGUACGGAACAACCAAGGGAAACUUUGGCUAAGACCGUAUACGACCUCCGGGUGAAAGAUUGAUCGCCGGAAGAGGGGCCCGCGCCCGAUUAGGUAGUUGGUGAGGUAACGGCUCACCAAGCCUUCGAUCGGUAGCUGGUCUGAGAGGAUGACCAGCCACACUGGGACUGAGACACGGCCCAGACUCCUACGGGAGGCAGCAGUGGGGAAUAUUGGACAAUGGGCGCAAGCCUGAUCCAGCCAUGCCGCGUGAGUGAUGAA